UACGUAGGUGGCAAGCGUUAUCCGGAUUUACUGGGUGUAAAGGGCGAGUAGGCGGGACUGCAAGUCAGAUGUGAAAACUAUGGGCUUAACCCAUAGACUGCAUUUGAAACUGUGGUUCUUGAGUGAUGGAGAGGCAGGCGGAAUUCCCGGUGUAGCGGUGGAAUGCGUAGAUAUCGGGAGGAACACCAGUGGCGAAGGCGGCCUGCUGGACAUUAACUGACGCUGAGGCGCGAAAGUGUGGGGAGCAAACAGG
rnacentral:rRNA from 1 species